GACGAACGCUGGCGGCGUGCUUAACACAUGCAAGUCGAACGGAAAGGCCCUGCUUUUGUGGGGUGCUCGAGUGGCGAACGGGUGAGUAACACGUGAGUAACCUGCCCUUGACUUUGGGAUAACUUCAGGAAACUGGGGCUAAUACCGGAUAGGAGCUCCUGCUGCAUGGUGGGGGUUGGAAAGUUUCGGCGGUUGGGGAUGGACUCGCGGCUUAUCAGCUUGUUGGUGGGGUAGUGGCUUACCAAGGCUUUGACGGGUAGCCGGCCUGAGAGGGGGACCGGCCACAAUAGGACUGCGAGACGGACCAGACUGCUACGGGAGGCAGCAGUGGGGAAUAUGGCACAAUGGGCGGGAGCCUGAUGCAGCAACGCCGGGUGCGGGAUGACGGCCUUCGGGGUGUAAACCGCUUUCGCCUGUGACGAAGCGUGAGUGACGGUAAUGGGUAAAGAAGCACCGGCUAACUACGUG
rnacentral:rRNA from 1 species